GAUGGCUCUAUGGAGGUGAUGAAGGUGGUUACUAUUGAAACUUUCCAUAUUCUUCUGAUGUUUUGUUGCUUAGAAUAUAAAUGGCUGAGAGGGGGCUGUGGAGCGCCCACUCUGCUUGUGUGUGAGGUUCUUCCUGCCAUCCUGCCGUCAUUUCUUUCUUAUGUUUUGCAGACAAGACUGACCAUGAGAAAUCCUGGGAGCUCAGGAAGGAAGGAGCCGCCCAGAAGCAGGAACAGGGAGUUGGUGGGGAAGACCAGAAAUCAGGUCUGUGAAGGUUCCAGAGAGCCUUGGCAGGCAUAUCCACCAGCCUUCUGGACACCAACGACAAUGAAGCAGGCACUGAUCUGAUGUUGCUGGACAGCUCUGUGGCCCACAGCCUGGAGGAGCUCAGCCUGGCCUGGCAGGUGAGCAGGUGCAACUUCCCUGCCUCCCUCCGGUUGAGGCUCCUUGAGGGCUGCUCACUGCAGAGUCCCAGGAGAGGCAGGUGGCCUGCUGGCUCUUCAGAGGUCUUUGCAGGCCCAGGGUUGGGGGGAGUCUCCUGCUGAGGCUGAUGUAUGUGGGGCAGCCACAUGGUCCAGUGGGAGGCCUGAGUCUUGUGUCUGUCCCACCAGGUGGAUGGUGACUGCAGGGCCACCAAGAAGACUCAAAAGCCCUGCCCAGGACAGAGCUCCACCAGCUGGGCCUUCCUCCAGGACCCCUGCUCCAGCUUGGGGAAUUGCUUCUGGGUGGUGAGUGUGAGCCUGGCCCCUGGGGCACAGAAAGCUCUUUCCCCCAUCUAGCCUAGUCUCCUCCUCCAUGCCACUUCCCAGGGUAGGGACAGUGACUGAGUGGCCCUGAUUUCAGGUGGACCCUGCACCAUUCCUCAGCCUGUGUGUGCAGGACCCCUGUGGCACCUGGGAGCUCCAGCCUGCCUGCACUCUGGUGGCCACCUACAUCCACCUGUGUGCCCACAGCUUUGUGUCCCUGGCCUCUCCUCCACAGUGCGGUAAGCUGCCCCAGCUGGCCGGCACUCUGCUGUCUGGCAUCUGCUUUCCAGCAGAGGGAAAACCCAUCUCUCCCUCUAUUGCCAGGGAGGAAAAAUAAUUGUCAUUCAAGGAGCUAAGAGUCAAAAACAGAACAUUUACAGCCUGACACAGAUUGGAUGUGUGUCCCCUCCAAAUCUUACAUUUGUUAGAGGGUGUAUGUCCCUCAUGGAUGGUUCAGCACCCUCUGUUUGGGGAAGUGUGAGUUCUUGCUCUAUUAGUUCACAUGAGAGCAGUUUGUUUAUAAAGAGCCUGGCAUCUCCUCCCUCUCUUUGCACCCACUCCUGUUUCUGCCAUGAUUGUAAGCUUCCUGAGGCCUUGCCAGAAGCCAAGCAGAUGCUGGAGCUGUGCUUGUACAGCCUGUAGAACUGUGACUUGAUUGUCUCUCUUAUUUAAGAACUGCCCAGGCCAGAGUGUAGUGGCACAAUUUCGCCUCACUGCAACUUCCACCUCCCAGGUUCAAGCAAUACUCCUGCCUCAGCCUCCCAAAAAUACAGGCAGGUAUUUUUGUAGAGAUGGUGUUUUGCCAUGUUGACCAGGCUGGUCAUGAAUUCCUGACCUCUGGUGAUCCUCUUGCCUUGUCCUCCCAAAGUGCUGGGAUGACAGGCAUGAGCCAUCGCGCCCAGCCUCAGCAGGGAUUUGAAUGUCCACCGCCAUUUAGGGAAAAUGCUCAGCCCCUGUUUUUCCUCUGCUCUCAUACCACAAAAAUCAUCAUCAACACAGAAGAUGACUUCUGUGAGCCAAUGUGUGGGGGUUUGUCCCGACUACCAGGGCGGACCUCUAACUCAGUUCUAACACUAGCUGUCUUGAGAUUCUUCAGCCAGUGCUGCAUAUGAUUGCCACAGCCAAAGCCCCACUAAAAGGGCAUAGAAUUCAGUGGCAACAAGAGGAGUGGACCUCCAAGAGCUUAAGAUGUUAGAAUUAGUGGCUGCCAUUCACAGACAUUUAAACUUAAUGAAUUCAAUAGCUGAAG
ensembl:lncRNA